UAAUUUAAAAGCAACGCCCCAGGAGAUGGGGUAACAUUACCUCCGGGGUUCGUUUUAGCUCAAAUCUCAGUGGCUCCUUGUAGAGCACACGCACAAAAAAAGCACAAGAAAAUGGGGAGGGGGAAGGUCAUCGCCUCCUGACAAGCAAGGGAGACAAACACUGCGGCAAGAAGAAAACAGAGACCGAGUUGCAGGGAGACAGCAGAGAAGAAUCCGAGAGCGCGGGUUCGGGGCGGAGAGGACCGGCUCGGAGGGGGCAGCGGCAGUUCCCCAAGGGAAGGAGCUUCUCAGAUCUUGAGCCUGUUGGCCUUCAGACUGGAAUUCCACCAUCAGCUCUCCUGUCUGCAGCUGGCUGAUUGCAGAGUCUGAGACUCACUGGCCUCCCAGAUCCCCUGAGCCAACUCUUUGUAAUAAAUCAAUGUCCUCUAUCCCUAUCUGUACAGAUACACCUAUCUGUAGCCCCUCACUGGUGCUUUUCUUUAUUUACCAGGCAGGCCUCUGUCCUGGUGUGUUUUCCUAAGCUUUUUUCCUCCCCACCACCCCUAAAAGCUCUAUGUUGCAUAACAUAGGGACUUCUACGGUGCGAGGGGGACAUUUAAGUACACUUCAUGUAACUCUUCACUAUAGUCUGGGAUAAAAGCCUUGAGGAAAAUAAAUCAGCUACCAGAGAACCUUUACGGUUGAUUCCAUCCCUCCCCAUUUUCUCCCUCAUGUCCUUAUGUGUCCCUCUCUGUGGGCUUUAAUAGGGACUAAAAUCAGUUUUUUAAGCGGAAUUAUUACAAACACGAGUGCAAAGAAGAACAUGUUUAAAGCUUGGAACAUUUUGUGUUUAGAAAUGAAUAGUUAAGAAAUAAAUAUAAUCAAAAUAGGAAAUAAAUAUAAUAAAUAUAAAUUGAGAAAUAAAUAUAAUCAUUGAGAAAUAAAUAUAAUCAAAAUAGUAACAGUGGGAGGAUGGGGGAAACUGAGGGAAGACUGGUAAAGCAGGAGAAUUUUUUUUUUUUUUUAAAGAAUGGUUAAGUGCUAUCUUCUGUUUAAGGACAAAGACUUCCUUAUUUUUAUUAAAGCAAUACAGUGCAUUAAUAGAUGGGAAUCAAGAAAAAAGGAAGGAUUAUAUUGCACAUGCUAUUUUUAUUUUUUAAAGUUUUAUUUAAGUAAUCUCUACACCCAGCAUGGGGCUCGAACUCAUGACCCUGAGAUCAAGAGUCACACACUCCCCUGACUGAGCCAGCUAGGCACCUCUGCACGUGCUACUUUUAAUUUAAAAGGUAUUUAAUUUGUCCCAGUCACUUUGGGCUGCUGUAACAAAAAUAUCAUAGCUGGGUGGCUUGAAGAACAAAAAUGUCUUUUCUCAUAAUUUUCUGGAGGUUAGGAAGUACAAGAUCAAGUUGCCAACAACCUCACAUGACAAAAGGAGAGAGCUUGGAUUUCUUCAUCCCAUCCCCUUCAUGAGGAGUCUACCCUCAUGACCUAUUACCUCCCCCCAGGCUCUCCCUGCUAAGUUUAUCAACAUUAGCUUAGGUUAGGAUUUCGAAAUAUGAAUUCUGGAGGGACACAGACAUUCAGUCCACAACAAUGUCAUUCUUACAUAAGACAUGGUUUGAAGAGAGCCUAGUACAUAGCAGGUCUCAGUAAAUGCCAUGCGUUUAUUAAAUUAUACUCACUUUUAGGUUUUAUGGAAUGAUGUCGUGCUCCAUUCCUUCUUUGCUUUAUACUAACAAGUAUUUUUUUAUGCUCUUACA